rnacentral:rRNA from 1 species
CACGGGGUUGCGAGCGUUGUCCGGAAUUACUAGGCGUAAAGGGCAGGCAGGCGGAUCCAUACGUUUAUCGUUUAAGGCGUCGGCUUAACCGGCGUAGGGCGGUAGAUACUGUGGAUCUGGAAUGCGGUUGGGGAAGACAGAAUUCCUGGUGUAGCGGUGGAAUGCGCAGAGAUCAGGAGGAAUACCGAAGGCGAAGGCAGUCUUCCAAGCCGUUGUUGACGCUCAACUGCGAAGGUGUGGGUAUCAAACAGGAUUAGAUACCCUGGUAGUCCCUGA